AAGUCGUAACAAGGUUUCCGUAGGUGAACCUGCGGAAGGAUCAUUACCUUUCUGCCCUUCGGGGCACAGUGGGGGUCUAUACUUGUAUAGCCUCCAUCUGCAUCCUUGUCUUUUGCGUACUACAUGUUUCCUCGGCGGGCUUGCCCGCCGGUUGGACCAUUAUAAACUCUUUGCAAUUGCAAUCAGCGUCUGAAUAAUUUUAAUAAUUACAACUUUUAACAACGGAUCUCUUGGUUCUG
rnacentral:misc_RNA from 1 species